rnacentral:rRNA from 1 species
UAGAUACCCCACUAUGCCUGCCGUAAACUUUAACUUACACCUCAAUCGUCAGGGAACUACGAGCAAAGCUUAAAACCCAAAGGACUUGACGGUGCCCCAUAUCCCCCUAGAGGAGCCUGUCCUAUAAUCGAUAAUCCCCGUUUAACCUCACCAUAUCUAGCUUAUCAGCCUGUAUACUUCCGUCGCAAGCCUACCACAUGAGCGAAGCUUAGUUAGCCCAACGUCCACACAUAAAUGUGCUCAUAUCGACAAUACGUCAGGUCAAAGUGCAGCAAACGUUAUGGGAUGAGAUUGGCUACACUUUUUAAUUUAAAAGAAACGGAAAACAAUAAUGAAACUUUGUCAGAAGGUGGAUUUAGUAGUAAAAGGAAAAUAUAAAAUUUCUUUUAACUCGGCACUGGGGUGUGUACACACCGCCCGUCACCCUCUUCGAAAAUCUUAAAUUAGUACUUAACCUAUUAUCAAAAAUAAAGAAGAGGCAAGUCGUAACAUGGUAAGCGUACCGGAAGGUGUGCUUGGAAA